AGAGUUUGAUCCUGGCUCAGAAUGAACGUUGGCGGCGUGGAUUAGGCAUGCAAGUCGCGCGGAAAGGCCCCUUCGGGGGUACUCGAGCGGCGAAAGGGAGAGUAACGCGUGGAUACCUACCCCUGGAUCCGGAAUAGCUGCGGGAAACUGCAGGUAAUGCCGGAUAAUGUCCCCGGACCAAAGGUGUGAUUCCGUCCAGGGAGGGGUCCGCGUCCUAUUAGCUUGUUGGUGGGGUAACGGCCUACCAAGGCUUAGAUGGGUACCGGGUGUGAGAGCAUGGCCCGGCUCACUGGGACUGAGACACUGCCCAGACACCUACGGGUGGCUGCAGUCGAGAAUCUUCGGCAAUGGACGCAAGUCUGACCGAGCGACGCCGCGUGCGGGAUGAAGGCUUUCGGGUUGUAAACCGCUGUCAGAGGGGAGGAAAUCACUAGGGGCUAUCCCCUAGAGUUGACCUAUCCUCAGAGGAAGGACGGGCUAAGUUCGUGCCAGCAGCCGCGGUAAUACGAACCGUCCAAACGUUAUUCGGAAUCACUGGGCUUAAAGGGUGCGUAGGCGGUGCGGUAAGUUGGGUGUGAAAUCCCUCGGCUCAA
rnacentral:rRNA from 1 species